GAUGAACGCUAGCUACAGGCUUAACACAUGCAAGUCGCGGGGCAGCAUGGGGGUUGCUUGCAACCCCUGAUGGCGACCGGCGCACGGGUGAGUAACGCGUAUCCAACCUGCCCUUCACCACGGGAUAACCCGGCGAAAGUCGGACUAAUACCGUAUGUUGUCCAUUGACGGCACCCGAUUUGGACGAAAGGCUUGGGGGUGAAAGGAUGGGGAUGCGUCCGAUUAGCUUGACGGCUGGGUAACGGCCUACCGUGGCUACGAUCGGUAGGGGUUCUGGAAGGAAGGUCCCCCACACUGGAGCUGAGACACGGUCCAGACUCCUACGGGAGGCAGCAGUGAGGAAUAUUGGUCAAUGAGCGUAAGCCUGAACCAGCCAAGUAGCGUGCAGGAUGACGGCCCUAGGGGUUGUAAACUGCUUUUAUGCGGGGAUAAAGUGGCCCACGUGUGGGCUUUUGCAGGUACCGCAUGAAUAAGGACCGGCUAAUUCCGUG
rnacentral:rRNA from 1 species